AUUGAACGCUGGCGGCAUGCCUAACACAUGCAAGUCGAACGAGUCGCGCAGGGGUGAGACACGUCUGGGACCCUGCCUUAUGGCGGGGGAUACCUCGUGGAACCGGUGGCUAAUACCGCAUACCAUCCGAUUUGACCUGAUGGGAUUAGCUUGUUGGUGGGGUAACGGCUAACCAAGGCCACGAUCCAUAGCUGAUCUGAGAGGUUGACCGGCCACACGGGAACUGAGACACGGUCCAGACUCCUACGGGAGGCAGCAGUGGGGAAUAUUGCACAAUGGGCGCAAGCCUGAUACAGCCAUGCCGCGUGUAUGAAGAAGGCCUUCGGGUUGUAAAGUACUGUCAGCAGGGAGGCGGUACCCGCACAAAAAGCACCGGCUAACUCCGUGCCAGCAGCCGCGGUAAUAC
rnacentral:rRNA from 1 species